UCGGGUGAGACUGCGUACCUUUUGUAUAAUGGGUCAGCGACUUAUUUUCUGUAGCAAGGUUAACCGUAUAGGGAAGCCGCUGGGAAACCGAGUCUUAUCUGGUCGUUAAGUUGCUGGGUAUAGACCCGAAACCCGGUGAUCUAGCCAUGGGCAGGUUGAAGGUUGGGUAACACUAACUGGAGGACCGAACCGACUAAUGUAGAAAAAUUAGCGGAUGACUUGUGGCUGGGGGUGAAAGGCCAAUCAAACCGGGAGAUAGCUGGUUCUCCCCGAAAGCUAUUUAGGUAGCGCCUCGUGAACUC
rnacentral:rRNA from 1 species